rnacentral:rRNA from 1 species
UACGUAGGGUGCAAGCGUUGUCCGGAAUUAUUGGGCGUAAAGAGCUCGUAGGCGGUCUGUCGCGUCUGCUGUGAAAACUCAGGGCUUAACCCUGAGCUUGCAGUGGGUACGGGCAGACUAGAGUGCGGUAGGGGAGACUGGAAUUCCUGGUGUAGCGGUGAAAUGCGCAGAUAUCAGGAGGAACACCGGUGGCGAAGGCGGGCCUCUGGGCCGUAACUGACGCUGAGGAGCGAAAGCAUGGGGAGCGAACAGG